rnacentral:rRNA from 1 species
GCGGGCUGGACCUCUCGGGGUUACAGCCUUGCUGAAUUAUUCACCCUUGUCUUUUGCGUACUUCUUGUUUCCUUGGUGGGUUCGCCCACCACUAGGACAAACAUAAACCUUUUGUAAUUGCAAUCAGCGUCAGUAACAAAUUAAUAAUUACAACUUUCAACAACGGAUCUCUUGGUUCUGGCAUCGAUGAAGAACGCAGCGAAAUGCGAUAAGUAGUGUGAAUUGCAGAAUUCAGUGAAUCAUCGAAUCUUUGAACGCACAUUGCGCCCUUUGGUAUUCCAAAGGGCAUGCCUGUUCGAGCGUCAUUUGUACCCUCAAGCUUUGCUUGGUGUUGGGCGUCUUGUCUCUAGCUUUGCUGGAGACUCGCCUUAAAGUAAUUGGCAGCCGGCCUACUGGUUUCGGAGCGCAGCACAAGUCGCACUCUCUAUCAGCAAAGGUCUAGCAUCCAUUAAGCCUUUUUUUCAACUUUUGACCUCGGAUCAGGUAGGGAUACCCGCUGAACUUAAGCAUAUCAAUAAGCGGAGG